rnacentral:lncRNA from 1 species
UUGAAAGGAUGAUAGGGAACUAUUUAAUUCAACUAUCGGUUGGGUUUGUACUCGAUGCCUAACUCUAACUUGACCCUGCAAGUAUAAAUCAAACCAUAUCUUAGUAUAUUCAAUACAACAAUUUACCUAAUCAAUAAUAAAUUGAAACAAUUACACCAUACUUACCUCUUGAUUAACUUCUCUAUCCAUCUCAAUAUAUCCUGCACAUUUUACAAAAUACAAUCAACAUCAAUGUAUAACUAAUGUAUUUAACUCAUUCAUAUAAUCAGAUUUUUCACAACAGCACCCUCUUUCCAUCCAAUUACCAUCCAACAACAUGCACACAACUACUAUUUCAAAAAAUAAACUUGGCUGCUUCAAAAAAGGUAUAGAAAAAUUCCCAAAAGAGAACAUCUCUCAUUGAAUGAAACCUCACUCAAAACUUGAAAACGAUAAAAUAGGAAUUGUGAGCUUCACAUCACAACUGAAGCUUGACCGCUUGACCAAAAGGAAACCC